rnacentral:tRNA from 1 species
UCGGUAGAACGGCGGACUGUUAAUCCGUAUGUCACUGGUUCGAGUCCAGUCAGAGGAGCCA